GGGUCUAAAUGAAGUAACUACAUGUGAACUACUUACAUGUCCGUGGGGCUACUAUAUCUUAACUCUUUAAAUAUUUUGGUGGAUCAAUGCACUAACAACAUAUUAUGUCCUUAUCAAUGUUGGGGGGAUCUAUGCACUAAGUACGUGUAACUACUCAUAGAAUUCUUGGGGAACUACAUAUUGACUCCCAACAGAGUUGUUGGGGCACUGCCUAAUUCCUACUUCUAUACUUGUCGGGGCAAACAUGCUAGCUACAUCUUAGCUACAUCUAAAUGAACUGCUGUUAAUAUAGGGACUGUCUGUCAGGCCAUAGGUGGAAGCUAUGUCAGGGCCUCGGUGAAGGUUGCCAGGCCCUAAGUGAAGGUUGUCAGGGCCUUAGUGAAGGUUGUCAGGGCUUAGUUGAAGGUUGUCAGGGCCUGGGUGAAGGUUGUCAGGCCCUAGGUGAAGGUUGUCAGGGCUUGGGUGAAGGUUGUCAGGGCCUGGGUGAAGGUUGUCAGGGCUUGGCUGAAGGUUGUCAGGGCUUAGGUGAAGGUUGUCAGGGCCUGGGUGAAGGUUGUCAGGCCCUAGGUGAAGGUUGUCAGGCCCUAGGUGAAGAUUGUCAGGCCCUAGGUGAAGGUUGUCAGGGCCUCGGUGAAGGUUGUCCGGGCCUCGGUGAAGGUUGUCAGGGCCUGGGUGAAGGUUGUCAGGCCCUAGGUGAAGGUUGUCAGGGCUUGGGUGAAGGUUGUCAGGGCCUGGGUGAAGGUUGUCAGGGCUUGGCUGAAGGUUGUCAGGGCUUAGGUGAAGGUUGUCAGGGCCUGGGUGAAGAUUGUCAGGCCCUAGGUGAAGGUUGUCAGGGCCUCGGUGAAGGUUGUCAGGGCCUGGGUGAAGGUUGUCAGGCCCUAGGUGAAGGUUGUCAGGGCUUGGGUGAAGGUUGUCAGGGCCUGGGUGAAGGUUGUCAGGGCUUGGCUGAAGGUUGUCAGGGCUUAGGUGAAGGUUGUCAGGGCCUGGGUGAAGGUUGUCAGGCCCUAGGUGAAGGUUGUCAGGCCCUAGGUGAAGGUUGUCAGGGCCUGGGUGAAGGUUGUCAGGCCCUAGGUGAAGGUUGUCAGGGCUUGGGUGAAGGUUGUCAGGGCCUGGGUGAAGGUUGUCAGGGCUUGGCUGAAGGUUGUCAGGGCUUAGGUGAAGGUUGUCAGGGCCUGGGUGAAGGUUGUCAGGCCCUAGGUGAAGGUUGUCAGGCCCUAGGUGAAGGUUGUCAGGGCCUGGGUGAAGGUUGUCAGGCCCUAGGUGAAGGUUGUCAGGGCUUGGGUGAAGGUUGUCAGGGCCUGGGUGAAGGUUGUCAGGGCUUGGCUGAAGGUUGUCAGGGCUUAGGUGAAGGUUGUCAGGGCCUGGGUGAAGGUUGUCAGGCCCUAGGUGAAGGUUGUCAGGCCCUAGGUGAAGAUUGUCAGGCCCUAGGUGAAGGUUGUCAGGGCCUCGGUGAAGGUUGUCCGGGCCUCGGUGAAGGUUUUCAGGGUGUUUCUUCUCCAGGCCGCAGCUCGUGUGCUGCAAGGGUUCCAGCAGCCGCUGCUGGAAGUCCCUCCUGGUCCACCCUUAGGGGCCCUCCUCUCAGGGCCCUCCUCUGCAGACCAUGCUCUUCUUCCUCUUCCUUGUUUGCAUCGCCCUUGUCACCUUCUUCUUGAUUUCCUUGGCGAAUGCCCAGAUUUCCUUCACCUCUUUGUAUCUCUUCCUGAUGGUGAGCAUGGUCUGGACGGAUUCCCUCCUCCUCCUCGUCGCCUCUUCGAGGGCUCUCCUGGCGGCUGCUCUCUGGUUCAUGGCUGCUAUUGUGCGGCUGAACCAGAGCGCCAAGAGGAGGCCCAGGGCUACAGCAGGAGCCGAGAAGUGCCACUGCUGGAGGGCAGCCCAGAGCAGGGCUCCCCCGGCACGCAGAGCGUGCUCCAGGGGGCCCUGCUCCAGCUCCUGCUGCAGCCGACUCAUCUCCCUCUGGAGAUAGUGAGUGCGCAGCUCCAUGCGCUCCCGCGUCACCUCGUCCAACCCGUCGCCCACCGGCUGCGGGUAGUGGAUGAGGCUCUGCAGAAGCAAAGCAAGGAACAUUGUCCGAGCCAUAGCGUGCAGGGGAGAGAGAGUGGGGGGCGCCCACUCCCUGCCUCUGCCCAGACUGGACUGGGGCAGCGUUACCUGCGGUGGCCUUUUAUACUCGCCUCCAUUGUGACGUGUGCCAUGUGACGUCACAGACGCCAGAGGCAUCACAGCCAGGCCAGCCCCGCCCUUCGUGCCCACCCCGGCUCAGCCACUGCCAGUGGGCAACCAGAGCCCCGACAGCCGCCAAGUGCAGCCCCAGCGGCAGGGAAUGGGCCCCCAGGGGCUCCCUUGGCAAAGCGGGCAGAAGCCCCCGAUCCCUUGUCAAAUGGAACAGUGGGGGACAUGGCCCUUGGACGCUUUGCUCCUUUGGAUCCCCUGCUGUGGGCCGGGAUCAGUUCCCUCGGGGCUGACCUCUGGGCUUGCGGGGGUGCUGCUGGAGCUUUGGAACACCUCUGGGUGCUUGGUGGUGAAUAUCCUGGUGGUGGGAUGGGUCCUCUCCGUGGCAGGAUCUCUGUUGCUGCUUGGCACUGUGAGGGGACCUUGGUUGCAAAGAGACAUUGCCCAGGAGUGAGGAGGAGCUGUGGGGGUGGAUUUCCCGGAAGGAGACUGUAGCAACACCAAGUCGGGGCUCCUUUAGAUCAAGAAUGAAGCAGGGGGUGGUUCCGGCCCAGAAUUUGAGCUGUUUGCAACAUAGUAAAACGUGUGUGUUAAGCGGGGAUAGGUCAACUCGUGUUGCCCCUGAAGGCCGGAGCAAAA